AUCAAAUCAUUCUCUAAAAGCAAAUUUGCUUUAAUUGGCACUAAACAUUAACCAAAAUCUUGAAUUAAAAUGUACAUUAAAAAUAUUUUAAAAUUAUUAUUUACAAAAUAAAAAAUAGGAAAACCUAUGACAUCGAUCUUGUCUAUUUGUAUAGCAAUUGUUAACAUUUGCUGUUAGUUUAGCAAUUUUCAACACUGUUUGAUUGUUUUAUCAUAUUAACAUUUUAACGUUUUUGAUUAUUCUUAUAUUUCGUUGUUAUAUUAUCCUUAUUCAUCGAGUUAUUGAAAAUGAAGUUUACCUAACGAGGGAUAAGUUCAGCUGAAUACGAACAAGAUGUUAUCAAUUUUAGCUUCAUCCAUAUUUUAUUCAGUGUUAUUUUCAAGUGGAGACGCUUUCAUUGUCUUAUGCUCUUGUUGAGAAAUGAAAAAGUUGGAUGGAAAUGCCCUUAAGCAGUCGAGAUUUGAGUUACUGAAAGAUGGUAUUCACAAGGUUAAGGUGAUGAAAGGAAGGCUUCUUAUCCAAAUAAAAAAGGAAACCAACUCUUAUUAAUAAAUGAACACUUCGAGUUGUAUUGCCAUUCCUUGGCAAUAAGGAGAAACCAUUUCGAGUCUGGUAAAUAUUGGAAUACAAAAUAAAAUGAAGGCUGGUUGAAAUUGAAAGUUAAACUAGACAUUCCAAGUGAAUAAAAAGAUAAUGACGAUAAUCACCAUUAACACCAUGAAAAGGAUGAUCACUUUUUUACUGGUAAAAUCGUUGUACCAUAUUUAUUUCAAUUGUACGGUUGAAGGGUUGCAAGGACUUUAAUACAUCACAAUUUUUAUACUCUACUGUAUACAAUGUUGAAAGAAUGGAAAAGCAGACCAAAUAAUCCAAUUUAUUGACCUAUCCCCAACAAUUGAUCAAAUUUAUAGCUGGAUACACCAGAAAUGGAUUUGUUAAAGAAUUACAUGAUGGAAAAGAGAAGUCUGAUCAGAAUUUUGGCUCAAUUUAAGACUACUUUGGAUUACAGAUUGACUUUAAUACAAACAAAUGGUUCAAUUUGGAACAAUGUAACUCAAAUCAUUCCCAAACCCAUGUCCACUGGUCAAUCAACCCAAUUCAUCUCAUCUAACUGGUCUACCCUAACCAAGAGUCCUUAAACCAAUGAAACAUCUGACAUUCAUUGAAUUUUACCAUCGGUAAACAGUAUUUUCGGUCGGUAAAAUGUGAUUGACUUAUUGAUUGAGACAAGUGUGGGAUGAAAUGUUCAAGAAUAAAAUCAAAGUUAUUAUUCAA